GAUUCUGCCCUACGGGGAAGGAUGAGAAGCUUCGACUAAGGUUCGACUCGAACGCCAGCGAGAGAACGUUGCCGCAGGCAAUGGCCCGAAGGGCGAGGAGCGAUAGCGACGAGUUAUCCUUCCCCCUCUAUUC
rnacentral:sRNA from 1 species